ACGACGAACGCUGUGCGGCGCGCUUACACAUGCAAGUCGAGCGAGAACCAGGCCUUCGGGCCUGGGGAAAGCGGCGAACGGGUGAGUAACACGUGGGUAAUCUGCCCUCGGCACUGGGAUAGCCCGGGGAAACCCGGAUUAAUACCGGAUGGCCUCUCGAGCUCUCGGGCUCGUGAGAAAAGGUAGCUUCGGCCUCCGGCCGAGGAGGAGCCCGCGGCGGAUUAGCUUGUUGGUGAGGUAAAGGCUCACCAAGGCGACGAUCCGUAGCUGGUGUGAGAGCAUGACCAGCCACACUGGGACUGAGACACGGCCCAGACUCCUACGGGAGGCAGCAGUGGGGAAUCUUGCGCAAUGGGCGAAAGCCUGACGCAGCGACGCCGCGUGCGGGAAGAAGGCCUUCGGGUUGUAAACCGCUUUCAGGAGGGACGAAGCCACUCGGGUGAAUAGCCCAGAGGGUGACGGUACCUCCAGAAGAAGCCCCGGCUAACUACGUGCCAGCAGCCGCGGUAAUACGUAGGGGGCUAGCGUUGUCCGGAUUUAUUGGGCGUAAAGCGCGUGUAGGCGGCUUGAUAGGUCUGCUGUGAAAACUCGGGGCUCAACCCCGAGAGGUCGGUGGAAACCCUCUGGCUAGAGUCCGGAAGAGGAGAGUGGAAUUCCCGGUGUAGCGGUGAAAUGCGCAGAUAUCGGGAAGAACACCGGUGGCGAAGGCGGGUCUCUGGGCAGUAACUGACGCUGAGGAGCGAAAGCGUGGGGAGCGAACAGGAUUAGAUACCCUGGUAGUCCACGCCGUAAACGGUGGGUACUAGGUGUGGGUUUCCUUCCUUGGGAUCCGUGCCGUAGCUAACGCAUUAAGUACCCCGCCUGGGGAGUACGGCCGCAAGGCUAAAACUCAAAGGAAUUGACGGGGGCCCGCACAAGCGGCGGAGCAUGUGGAUUAAUUCGAUGCAACGCGAAGAACCUUACCUGGGUUUGACAUGCACAGGACGCCGGUAGAGAUAUCGGUUCCCUUGUGGCCUGUGUGCAGGUGGUGCAUGGCUGUCGUCAGCUCGUGUCGUGAGAUGUUGGGUUAAGUCCCGCAACGAGCGCAACCCUUGUCUCAUGUUGCCAGCGCGUGAUGGCGGGGACUCGUGAGAGACUGCCGGGGUCAACUCGGAGGAAGGUGGGGAUGACGUCAAGUCAUCAUGCCCCUUAUGUCCAGGGCUUCACACAUGCUACAAUGGCCGGUACAAAGGGCUGCGAUGCCGUGAGGUUAAGCGAAUCCUUGGUAAAGCCGGUCUCAGUUCGGAUCGGGGUCUGCAACUCGACCCCGUGAAGUCGGAGUCGCUAGUAAUCGCAGAUCAGCAACGCUGCGGGAUACGUUCCCGGCCAUGCACACACCGC
rnacentral:rRNA from 1 species